GACGAACGCUGGCGGCGUGCUUAACACAUGCAAGUCGAACGGAAAGGCCCUGCUUUUGUGGGGUGCUCGAGUGGCGAACGGGUGAGUAACACGUGAGUAACCUGCCCUAGACUUUGGGAUAACUUCAGGAAACUGGGGCUAAUAUCGGAUAGGAGCUCAUGCUGCAUGGAGGGGGGUGGAAAGUUGCGGCGGGCGGGGAUGGACGAGCGGCUUAUCAGCUAGUUGGUGGGGUAGUGGCUGACCAAGGCUUUGACGGGUAGCCGGCCUGAGAGGGUGGACGGCCACCUUGGGCCUGCGAUACGGCCCAGACUCCUACGGGAGGCAGCAGUGGGGAAUAUUGCACAAUGGGCGGAAGCCUGAUGCAGCAACGCCGCGUGCGGGAUGACGGCCUUCGGGUUGUAAACCGCUUUCGCCUGUGACGAAGCGUGAGUGACGGUAAUGGGUAAAGAAGCACCGGCUAACUACGUG
rnacentral:rRNA from 1 species